rnacentral:rRNA from 1 species
AGUGAACGCUGGCGGUAGGCCUAACACAUGCAAGUCGAACGGCAGCACAGUAAGAGCUUGCUCUUACGGGUGGCGAGUGGCGGACGGGUGAGGGAUACAUCGGAAUCUACUUUUUCGUGGGGGAUAACAUAGGGAAACUUACGCUAAUACCGCAUACGACCUACGGGUGAAAGCAGGGGAUCUUCGGACCUUGCGCGAUUGAAUGAGCCGAUGUCGGAUUAGCUAGUUGGCGGGGUAAAGGCCCACCAAGGCGACGAUCCGUAGCUGGUCUGAGAGGAUGAUCAGCCACACUGGAACUGAGACACGGUCCAGACUCCUACGGGAGGCAGCAGUGGGGAAUAUUGGACAAUGGGCGCAAGCCUGAUCCAGCCAUACCGCGUGGGUGAAGAAGGCCUUCGGGUUGUAAAGCCCUUUUGUUGGGAAAGAAAAGCAGCAGGUUAAUACCCCGCUGUUCUGACGGUACCCAAAGAAUAAGCACCGGCUAACUUCGU